rnacentral:lncRNA from 1 species
AAAUAAAUGCAGGGAUGCCUCGGCUGGGAGCAGUCCGCCGCCUCCCUCCGAGCGCAGGACGCUCCGACGCCCGCUUGCCCGCAGGCCACCGCAGAUCCCGGCAGACUAGGGCACCUCCAAACCCCUGCAGGGAAAGAGAAAGCGCCUUUCCUAAAAGCCGAGUCACUUUAGUUCGCAAGAAGCACUGGCGUUUACGCAGUGGAGAGCCACUGGGGUCACGAGCUGGGUCCUGGAGAGAAAGUCAAAGCGUGCCGCGGGUCGUCUAUCAUCCCAGUCCCAUUACAAGCCAGUCGCACCGCCUUGUUUUAGGAGCGUGAUCCGGUGUGUUGCACUUGCGCGUGUAGGGGUCCUAGAACAGGACUUUGGAAGAUAGACUAGGCUCAAGCGCUUCUUUCCGCUGCCUGCAGGAAGGUGCCAACCUCACCUCACUAGUUUCCACUGUAGCCUGCUGAAAAUACAGUACCCUAAAGUUCUGAGGACAGGGUUCAGAAAAGACCUCUUUGGGGACAGAGAGGUGGCUCAUCAAUAGGCGAUUUGACUUGUAAGAGUAAAGCCCAGGAAUCGUUGCUCACCGGUGGGGUGGUUGUGGAGGCGGAGGUUGGGGAAGAAAAAGGAAAAAAAAAAACUAUCUUUACUACUGUCUA